GAAAGACCCAAAAUCCCCACUGGCCGUGGACAAGGAUACCACAAUAACCGUGGUGGUAGAUCCAAUCAUGGCCGAGGAAGGAGUAAAGGUCGAAAUGGCAUUACAAGCCACAUCAAAAUGGUUUCUAUAAUAAACCAAUGCGCAAAGCAAAAGGAAAUGUCCCUUUAGCUUAUGAAAAUCGCCAAAGGCAUAUAUAUAAGAGAGGUCGAGACUACAUUCUCCCUACUGAUCUAAUACUAUGCUAAGGAUCAGUGUGAUAAGGCAUAAAAGCCUAGGUAACCAGUAAGGUUCACCAACAAAUUUAUACACUUUAUGGCAUGACCGGAUUAGCCAUCCUGGUCCGAACUUUAUGCAAAGUUUAAAAUUACUAAGGCACAAAGAGUUAUCCCAUAAGAUUUCACGUUGUGAAACAUGUACACAAAGAAAACUCAGUAGGCUUCAUUGUUCCAAGCAACACGAAAGUAUAAUCUGAUCAUAAGGGUAGUGAGGACAAAACCCGUGAUCAUGACCAGACCACAAAUUCGUGUAUCAUGGUCUAAAACCAUGCUGGCCGUCCAAGCAUUACGUUUAAGUGAGGACAAACAAACGUAUUUUAUAGCAUGUUCAUGAGGGGAGAAUAAACACUCCAUGUGGUCCAUGACCAUACUAUAAAACCCGAACAUGAUAAGCCUGGCCGAAGGCCAUAAGGCAUUAUAGCUUGGCCGUAUAAGGCAUAACCUAUAAGGUUGAGACUUCAAAAGAUAAGAUACAUCAUGAAUAAACCACCACAUACCUAUGCUUGAAAAAUAUUUUUUUUGAUUGACAAAUGAGAAUGAAAACAUGAGAAGAGUAUGUCUAGAUCACCAUGCCUAAGGCAUGGCCUUAAGAGGCAGGAAAUUUAUCACCUAAGACCCAUUGAGAAAGACCCAAAAUCCCCACUGGCCGUGGACAAGGAUACCACAAUAACUGUGGUUGUAGAUCCAAUCAUGGCCGAGGAGGGAGUAAAGGUCGAAAUGGCAUUACAAGCCACAUCAAAAUGGUUUCUAUAAUAAACCAAUGGGCAAAGCAAAAGGAAAUGUUCCUUUUAGCUUAUAAAAUCGCCAAAGGCAUACAUAUAAAAGAGGUCGAGACUACAUUCUCCCUACUGAUCUAAUACUAUGCUAAGGAUCAGUGUGAUAAGGCAUAAAAGCCUAAGUAACCAGUACGGUUCACCAACAAAUUUAUACACUUUAUGGCAUGACCGGAUUAGCCGUCCUGGUCCGAACUUGAUGCAAAGUUCAAAAUUACUAAGGCACAAAGAGUUAUCCCAUAAGAUCUCACGUUGUGAAACAUGUACACAAGGGAAACUCAGUAGGUUUCAUUGUUCCAAGCAACACGAAAGUAUAAUCUGAUCAUGAGGGUAGUGAGGACAAAACCCGUGAUCAUGACCAGACUACAAAUUCGUGUAAAACCAUGCUGGCCGUCCAAGCAUUACGUUUAAGUGAGGACAAACAAACGUAUUUUAUAGCAUGUUCAUGAGGGGGAGAAUAAACACUCCUUGUGGUCCAUGACUAUACUAUAAAACCCGAACAUGAUAAGCCUGGCCGAAGGCCAUAAGGCAUUAUAGCUUGACCGUAUAAGGCAUAACCUAUAAGGUUGAGACUUCAAAAGUCUAUAAGCUUGGGUACACCACAAGAAUACAUGUAUGAAAGAUAAGAUACAUCAGGCCAUAUAAAGUGAGCAUAGAUAUUCCCGUCUAAAGAUGAUAAAGGGUCAUAAUCCAGAUAUAGACCAUCCUAAGAGUUUAUGAAUAAACCACCACAUACCUAUGUGUCAUCUAGGAUGGAAUACCUCAUCUAAGGAUGAGAUGAAAAUCGGGAAUAUAUGUUAGAUAAGAGAACAUGAUCUUUCUCCCACGAAUUCAAUGAGACCAUGAGCCAAACAAAGGUGAUCAUAUUGUGGCCAAGGUACACGGAUUACAUACAAGAUGAAUCCGACUAUCCAACAUCAUGGAGAAAGCUAUAAGCUGGUAAAUAGAAAGUGAAAGUGGAAUGGUUUUAACCAUCCAAGUCUUGGCAAAGAUCCUCGGACCAGAUAUAUAUGUACUGGACGUCCAUAAACAAAGAAAGAAUGAUAGCCAGACAGACCCGAAAGAAUGAUUAAGUCAUACCAGCUUAGCACCACUAUAUAAAUGUCCUAGUAGAGACAUAAUCAAGUUGCUAGAAGUCUAUACAAGAUAGACCAGUAUGUUCCAUAUACAAGGAACCUCGGAUAGAAAGAGAUAAGGUGCUCAUAAUGAUAGAUCCGGGUUCAUGAAAGAGAAACCAUACUAGACAAUGAGAUAAGACCGGCCAGUCCUAAGGUACAGGUAUCAUACAAUGUAGCCUUGCAAACUACAAAGUAUUCAAUGAUCCUGAUAAUAAUAAAAUCUCAAUCGAUUGUAUCAUGUCUAGAACGCGAUAGAACGCGAUGGAACAUUAUAUAAGGUGUCGACACAUAAACACACUCAUAAGUGAUAAAGAGAAAGCACUUGAGCAUAAGAGAUAUGUGAGGAUCACUAACCCACGUAAGAGUACUCAUCAUAGAGAAAUGAAUGGGACGUGGAGUUAUAGUAAAGAAUGUAUAUGAUGGGCGUAUUGGCCAAAUACAUAAGAUAGACGCCAUCUAACCAGUGAACAGAUGAGUCUUGUGAGGAAAAGAAAAUCGUGAGCUGUAGAACAUGAAAGUACAGACAAGUGGUCGUACAUGUUGCUACAUAAAGCAUUCAAAAGGAAUGGCUUGAUCACACAAGGAUACUCACAGGGACUAAGGAACAAGGAAAUGAAUUCCUAGGUGGUGAAUGCUACUACCCAAUAUCGAAAUUAAUAAAGAUUUGAACAUCUAAGGAAGAUGUAGUAGACAUUGGAUAUAUCACUGGAUAUAAAGGUAACAUAAGAUACCUUGAGAAAUGAGAAAGAAGUUCUCAUAGAACAACAUCGUUCCUGGGUUUUUCAUGGACUGAAAUGCAGCUGCAUGCGUGUAUGUACACACGAUAUGAUAAGACUAAGUGAUGCUUAGUAGAAAGUUCUAUAAGAACGUUUCUGAUCAGUCCAUAUAGUAGUCAAUAUAUUUCUUGUGUUUAUACUUAAAGAAAGGAUGAUUAAGAUGAUUGAUUCUUGGAAAGGCUAUGAAGAGACUACGAUGAUCUAUAGUAGAGAUCAUUAGCCGUAUAUGAAUGUUGGGAUCUAUGAUCCAACGUACCAAGAAUAGAUUGAUCAAAUGGUCUGAGAAUCCAUCAGAUUCACGACCAAAGGGAACCAUACCGACUAGGAUCAUGUCCGACCUAGUUCGACCUUAAUCAUCAUUGGUCCCGACCAGUCCGUCCCGUCCAGCUCGUUCCGACCAGUUCCCUUAGGUCUUAAACCGACCAGAAUCGUCCGAACUGUGGACAUAUACUAAAAGGUUCAUGAAGAGUUUUUUUGUCAAAGGUUAUGAACGAGAUACAUAGUGGACGAGGACAUAAUCCGGAUGGAUUAUGGACGAGAGCAUGAUCCGCACAGAUCAGCAGUGGACAUGAACAUAAUCCGGAUGGAUUAUGGAUGAUGUCAUGAUCCGAACAGAUCAUGGACAUACAAAGACAUUCAUGGUCGAAUUUAUCUAAGAGAGAUAAACCAUAUGAUUCGAAUGGACCAUGAAUAUCAUGAAAGCAUUUUGCUGAUGCAGGUUACCAAUCCGACCCACACAGUGCUAAGUCCCAAACCGGCUACGUUUUCACAUAUGGAGGCACGGUCAUUUCAUGGAGAUCAGUCAAGCAGAUCAUAUCAGCCACAUCAUCCAAUCACUCGGAAAUAUUGGCAAUCCGUGAAGCAAGUAGAGAGUGUGUCUGGUUGAGACUCAUGACACACCAUAUUCGGACAGCAUGUGGGAUAUGGUAAGGAUGGGCUGACCAUUCUUUAUGAAGACAAUGCGGCCUGCAUAGCUCAGCUCAAGGAUGGAUACAUCAAGGGUGACAAGACUAAGCACGUUCUCCCCAAGUUCUUCUUCACCCAUGAUCAACAGAAGGAAGGAGAGGUCAAGGUACUCCAAAUCAGAUCAAGCGAGAACUCAGCCGACCUCUUCACUAAGGCAUUACCAACAUGCACACUCAGGAAGCUUAUGCAGCAGAUUGGUAUGCGAUCACUGAGAAGCCUUCAGUGAUGUUCACUUCAGGGGGAGUAAUGCGGCUGUACUCUUUUUUCUAUCCAUGGCUUCCCGUUUUUACCACAUUGGAUUUUUUGGGUUUACCAUGGAAAGGUUUUAACGAGGCAGUAUACCAAACGCAUUACAAACUCUAGAUGGUUAUGGCAUUCAGGGGGAGUGUUGUAAACCAGAUGGUUUAUGGACUGCUCAUAACCAGAUGGUCGAGGUUACACUUAACCGAGAUUGUAUUAAACCGAGAUUGUAUUAAACCCAAUCAAAUGUUAAUGGUUUAUUUAUUUAAUAUGGGCCGAUUUCUCUUAAGUUUUUUAAGAGAAUCCCACAUUACUUAUGAGACUUGUAAUAGACGGCCUAAGCUCCAUAUAUAAGGAGCCUCUUGUUUUUGACAUUGAAUAACACAACAACACCUUCACAUCUUAUUUAUAACAAUCACACAAUAUUCAUAACAAGUAUGAAUUAUUCUAUAAUUCUCAUAAUGGCCCAUAUUUCUCAAAAAUCUAAUUUCUAGGUUGUGUUGAUGGAGUUAAGAAAAGGUUAAAUAUGAUGAAUCUAUAAAAUUUAUAUUUUAGUUAUAUAUUGGGCGGCAAUUGUCCAUAAUAGCACCUUUUAAGUUUUAUAUCCCAAAAAUAGCACUAGAAGGGGAAAGUCACAAAAAUAGCAUUUAUUAAUGGGCAAAAUGACUUUAGUACUCUUGUUAUAUAAUUAAUUAAAAAAAACAUAAAAAACCUCUCUCUCUCACGCGAAGAAGCGACCGACGGCUCCCUCUCUCUCACGCGACGGCGGCGACGGUCUUCUCUCGAUCUCUUCGACGCGGCAGCGGCGACGCGAAGAAGUGACGGUUCCCUCUCUCUCAUGCGACGGCGGUGACAGUCUCCAAAGCAACUCUGCCUUAUUGUAGGUUUUACUUAAUAGAAAGUGGAUUGGCUCUAAAUCUCUAAUGGUAGCCUUUCUCAUAAACGUCUCUGUGAUAUCAGAUAUAUAAAUGCUGGGAUUUCAUCCGUGAGGGGGAAGGGGGAGACCCUUCUAAUAAUCAAGAUGAUGUUCUCUGUGAUUUGGGGCCAUCGUAACCGUUCCAGAAGAGCAAGACCCGAUUCCGGUCCCUUCAACGUCUCUAGUCACUCGAAAGCCGCCGAAGCCUCAUGAACGGUCGUCGGAGCUGGUGAGAAUCACCGACGUCGGGUCCGACGGAGAGAGACAGUUCCGAGAGGUCGUGAGGAAGACGAAGAUUGAGAUUUUUUAAUUUUUUAUUUAAUUAAUUAGAAAAAGGGGCAUAAGAGUAAAUGAUCUUAUCAAAUGAAACCUAUUUUUGUGAUUUUUGAUCUUGGGUGCUAGUUUGGGAACAAAAACUUGGUUUAGUGCUAUUUUUGUCAUUUUCUCUUUGCUAUUCGGGUAUUUUCAGGUUCUUUUAUAUCAAAAGCGAAUCCAUCCGAACCCGGGAAGACCCGACUCGGAAUUUUGUGAUACUCGAGCGGAAUUUAAUUUUCAAAUCCAAAAGACCCGAUAUUCAAAAGAACCAAUCGUAGCCGACGGAUAUCCGAAUGCCUAGACCUAUUAAAAAGAUAACAAAAUCAAUAAUCUCAUCCCGUGUAAGGCACGGGUUAUUACCUAGUUAGUUAUUACGGAAGAUGACGGAGAUUUGUUAUAGUUCAUAACUUCCAUUAAAGUAACCAAGUCUUUUCAGAAAUGUUAUCGAUACGAGAACUACAUAUGGUUUAUGUUCGUUAUGAAUAAAAUAUUUUUGAGGAUUAUGAAUUUAACUUCAUUAUCGUCUCUAGAUUCUGCUAAAGUUUCUGUAACAUCCCGAGUUGUGAUAUACGGAAAUGCUUAAGAGAAUUGAUUUGGCUACCUAUGUCACCAAAGUUGACUUACCUUUUCCGGAGCACAUUCUGAAAGAACUUUAGAGUUAAGCGUGCUUGAGCUGGAGUAGUGGAAGGAUGGGUGACCUAUCGGGAAGUGAUUCGCGAUAGCG